rnacentral:rRNA from 1 species
GCUUACGGCCAUAUCAGCCUGGGUACGCCCGAUCUCGUCUGAUCUCGGAAGCUAAGCAGGGUCGGGCCUGGUUAGUACUUCGAUGGGAGACCGCCUGGGAAUACCAGGUGCUGUAAGCA